GCCCUCCGCGGCUCCUGCGCGACCCCACGCAAAAGCGCCCCGUGCGAAGAGCGCGGCCAGCCAGUCCGCAAAGGGCCUCGGGCAGUGCGGGCAGCACGAACGGCGCGAUCGGGGAGCAGGCGCGGCUACGCUCCGCCUCAGUGAUGUCGCCGGGAGGAUCUCCGCGCGGCUACCUCCUCUUCCGCCGCCUUCCUCCCACGCCUUCACCUCCCUCCCCCGCCGCGCUCUGCGGCGAAAAGGAGCGGGCUCCCAGGCCACCUCCCCUCUCUCCACCCAGGGGCCGCGCGUCAGUGGACCUGCAGCCCAGGCAACGGGGCUGCGGACGGCGCGCGUGCCCUGCCUCGCCUCACGCCGGUAGCUGAUGCUCCCGCGGCAGCUGCCACCCCAGCGCCCCAGCCACGGCUUCAGAGGCUCUCGCACGCUGGCUUUUUUUUUUUCCCCCCGCUUUGGUGAACUCGCAGUACUUGGGCUGAGCCCGAAAUCUCGCGAGAUGCUGCAGGCGUCAGUGCGGCUUCCCACUAGGCGCGUGGUACCCGAGGCCGGGCCGGAGCCGCAGGCCAGCCGCGAUUCCUUCGGGCGAUGCUGGGGGCUUUCCGGUCGGGGCCGCAGCCGCUUCCGGAGCCGCGGGCGAGGUGCGUUCCCCAGCCUGGUUUGCUCUGGGCUCUGACCCGCCGCCGCGAAUCUCCGCUCGUAACUCCGGGCCUGAACCUGGAGGAGGGAGGAUUUCCUCUGUGCAGCUUUCGAGCGGUAGACUCACCCUGCCAGGCAGACCUAGAUUGGCAUAACCAGAGAUCAGUUCCAGUUGUGAUGCAGUGGGUGUCUACACACUUCUGAUGACACCUUUAUUUUAAAAGCUGAUGUUCCAAGGUGCAAGCGGUCUUCUCUGUCUUCUUUAUGGCCAGUAAAAUUCUCCAGAAGAGAUUUAUGGCAGCCUCACUCCCAGUAGUUUCUGCAUUUAGUGAGAUAAGAUGGAAUCUUGCUCUCUUGCUCAGACUGGAGUGCAGUGGCAUGACCUUGGCUCACUGCAACCUCACCUCUCGGGUUCAAGCGAUUCUGCCUCAGCCUCUCGAGUAGCUGGGACUACAGGUGGGAGACCUCCACAGAACCCUUCCAGCAAGCUGUCUUCUAAAGCAAACAAGAAAAGGAAAGUCUGAGCAGUUUUGAUUAGAUUUCCCAGAAGUCAAAGCAAGGAAAAAUGAAAAAGCUUCAUUUCUCACGUUCUUAAAAGAGAGCACAGAUGUUGCAUCAUCUGGUUAGAUACCCUGAGAAUAAAAUCUGGAUCCAGUGAGAGGAAAGAUUCUGGGUGCUCAUGAAAAAAGAAACAAAACAAAACUUGGGAGCCUCUUGAGAGUGUACAGCAUCAGCCCUUGCCAACUCUUGUUUAUAUGCAUUUAACUUUCAGUUAACCAUGGGAAUAAUUCAUGAAAAUCCAAUCUACAAACAAAGGCCAUCCUAACGUUCAUGUUAUUCUUUUCCCUAAGAAUCUUUCACAAGAGCUAUAAUCAAGUAGAAUUAUGCUUUGAUUUGAAUUCUAAUUCAAUUGAAAAUAAAAAAUGAGGGCCGGACGCGGUGGCUCAUGCCUGUAAUCCCAGCGCUUUGGGAGGCUGAGGUGGACGGAUCACGAGGUCAGGAGAUCGAGACCAUCCUGGCUAACACGGUGAAACCCGAUCCCUACUAAAAAUACAAAAAAUUAGCCGGGCGUGGUGGCAGGCGCCUGUAGUCCCAGCUACUCGGGAGGCUGAGGCAGGAGAAUGGCGUGAACCCAGGAGGCAGAGGUUGCAGUGAGCCGAGAUCAUGCUACUGCACUCCAGCCUGGGCGACAGAGCGAGACUCUGUGUAUAAAUAAAUAAAUAAAUAAAUAAAUAACGAAAAGGUUGCCAUUGCCCUUUCUGGGGAAAGUGAUAAUGAGGAAAGACUAGUUUCUUAACCCAAGUCAGCUUUAGAGUCGGCAAGGAUGCAAUUUGAGGUGAUCCAGGAAAACUCUAUUAGCAUGGUAUUUCCCAUACAGAUUCAUUUCUUUUAGGCCUGAAGUCUUUUUGGCACUUCUUAAUAAAAUCACAGAUACCUCUUGGACAUGAAAGCUUAUCCUUUAUCAAUUUCUAUCAGUUAACCACUCAGAUGAGGAUAAAGGCCUGAGUCAGAAAGGACAGAGAGAGGUUCCACAAAGAGAUAAAAGAUGAGUGGCCAUAAGGAGUCCUUGAAAACACACCUCUCUAGCCCAUCAAAAAAUGCAGCACCUUAAACUCAAGUCCAUCUUACUAGCCUUUAGCAGUACCCCACCACUCUCAAAAUUUCCAGCAUUAAAUGUCUCGGAGCUAUAUAAAAGGCAGACUUAGGUAUAAGUAGGAAGAGAUAUCAAGGGCUUGGGUAUCAUUUCAGCACUAAUGGAGCUUAUGG
rnacentral:lncRNA from 1 species